UUAGAGAAUAUUUAAGGAUGACACACUGCAGUAAACGCUAGGAACCACAUUUCAACAACUGUUAGAGGCUAUUACCACUCCCGUUGCAUGCAAGAAAAUUAGCUGUAAUUGGAUGAGAAAAAAGAUUCAAGAAGAUUGAGUGGCUUCCUAAGAUGUGUAAGGGCUUGGAACACUGGAGAUUUUUUUUAUGUGUUUUUUUUUUUUUUUUUAUCAAAAGUCACCAGAUGGAAAAUGACAAAGUCAGUCAAAGGAGCCCAGGUAAACUUCAAUUCAUACAUGGAUGAUCUUAAGAGAACAUCUAUUCUUGCCUCAUUACAAUGGAUUCCUCUGAUUAAAAUUAUAAUUUUAGCUAGGCCAAGAGAAUAUUAAAAAAUUAUAAGCCCUAGAAUGUGACGUAGUGUUAUGGAUUGAAUUGUGUCUCUCCAACUGAUGUUGAAGUCAUAACCUCUGGUACCUGUGAAUGUGACUACAUUUGAAAAUAGUGUCUUUGCAGAUGAUCAAAUUAAGAUGAGGUCAUUAGAUAUGCCCUAACCCAAUGUAACUGUUUCCUCAUAGAAAAGGGGAAAUUUGGACAUAGAGACAGACACACAUAGAAAGAUCACUCCGUUCUUUCACAGGGACACAGGGAGAUCACCACCUACAAGUCAAACAACAUUUGAGGCUACCAGAAGCUAGGAGAGAAGAAUGGUACAGACCAUCCCUCACAACCUUCAGUAGGAACCUCCCAUGCUGAUACCUUGAUCUUGGACCUCUGUCCUCCCGAACUGUGACACAAUACAUUUCUGUUGUUUAAGCUACCCAAUGUGUAGUAUUUUGUUCCGAUACCCUCUAGAAAAUCAAUACACUUAAAAUUUAGUAAAUAGAAUUGAGGUCUUUGUUAAAACAUUAAAUGAGUAAACAAAAAACAUGCAAACAAAAAACUGGCACUCUGCAUUUUUUUUCAUAAUUUGAAAUUUUGUAUGAAAAGAAAGAUUUUAAAAAAAAUUAGGUGGCAGUUGAUUAUUUCAGUGCAUGAAACAUUUUAUUUGCCUGGAAAGAAACUAUUUUUAUAAUCAGGAAAAAAUAAAACUCUUCAAAUAAAAUCUAUCAUUGUAAUUUGUAUGUUAAUUUCAGGAUGACCAUGACUGCUUGCUCCCUGGCAAAGCCAAUCUGACGACACUGUCAAUUAGCUCUUACAGCAGCAGCAUUGUUUAUUUACAAGAACUGACUUCAAGUUCCAGUUCACCAAGUUCAUCAGAGGGCAAAUGAGAAUUGCAGUGCUUGGAGACUUAAUUUUAGAUGUACUUAUAUGUUGUCUGGAUGGCCCAACUCCAGGUGAUACUAUUUGCUGAUUUUUCUAAACAUCUUUAUUUAGAUGCAAUGGAUAUGCCAUAAAAUUCACUCAAAGCAUACAAUUUAAUGAGUUCAGAGUUGUGCAACCAUCAGCACUCUCUACAUGUAGACACUUUUAUCUUCCCCAAAAUAAAUUGGUUACCCAUUACCAAUCAUUUCCUAUUCCCUCUACCCUUUCCUCCAGCCAUAGACAGUCACUAAUCUACUUUCUGUCUCUAGA